rnacentral:rRNA from 1 species
CGUGGAUAAUCUACCCAGUAAUCCGGGAUAACAUCUCGAAAGAGAUGCUAAUACCUGAUAAGCCCACGAUCUCUUCGGAGAACGAGGGAAAAGGUGGGGACCUUCGGGCCUGCCGUUGCUGGAUGAGUCCGCGGCCCAUUAGCUAGUUGGUAGGGUAAUGGCCUACCAAGGCUACGAUGGGUAGCUGGUCUGAGAGGAUGAUCAGCCACACUGGAACUGAGACACGGUCCAG